GACGAAGGGGGCUAGCGUUGUUCGGAAUUACUGGGCGUAAAGCGUGCGUAGGUGGUUUGUUAAGUCUGUUGUGAAAGCCCCGGGCUCAACCUGGGAAUGGCAAUGGAUACUGGCAAGCUAGAGUGCGGUAGAGGGUAGUGGAAUUCCCGGUGUAGCGGUGAAAUGCGUAGAGAUCGGGAGGAACACCAGUGGCGAAGGCGGCUACCUGGACCAGCACUGACACUGAGGCACGAAAGCGUGGGGAGCAAACAGG
rnacentral:rRNA from 1 species